GUGGAUUAGAUACCCUGGUAGUCCAUGCCGUAAACGUUGGGAACUAGAUGUAGGGCCUGUUCCACGGGUUCUGUGUCGUAGCUAACGCAUUAAGUUCCCCGCCUGGGGAGUACGGCCGCAAGGCUAAAACUCAAAGGAAUUGACGGGGGCCCGCACAAGCGGCGGAGCAUGCGGAUUAAUUCGAUGCAACGCGAAGAACCUUACCAAGGCUUGACAUAUAGAAGAACGGGCGAGAGAUCGUCAACUCUUUGGACACUUCUAUACAGGUGGUGCACGGCCGUCGCCAACU
rnacentral:rRNA from 1 species